UGCGUAGGGUGCAAGCGUUAAUCGGAAUUACUGGGCGUAAAGCGUGCGCAGGCGGUUAUGCAAGACCGAUGUGAAAUCCCCGGGCUUAACCUGGGAAUUGCAUUAGUGACUGCAUGGCUAGAGUGUGUCAGAGGGGGGUAGAAUUCCACGUGUAGCAGUGAAAUGCGUAGAGAUGUGGAGGAAUACCGAUGGCGAAGGCAGCCCCCUGGGAUAACACUGACGCUCAUGCACGAAAGCGUGGGGAGCAAACAGG
rnacentral:rRNA from 1 species